rnacentral:rRNA from 1 species
GGGCUUGACAUCCCACGAACCUGCCCGAAGAGGUGGGGUGCCCGCAAGGGAGCGUGGAGACAGGUGGUGCAUGGCUGUCGUCAGCUCGUGUCGUGAGAUGUUGGGUUAAGUCCCGCAACGAGCGCAACCCUCACCCCUAGUUGCCACCGGGUUAAGCCGAGCACUCAAGGGGAACUGCCAGCGUCAAGCUGGAGGAAGGCGGGGAUGACGUCAAGUCAUCAUGCCCCUUACGCCCUGGGCUACACACGUGCUACAAUGGCCAGUACAAAGGGACGCGAGACUGCGAAGUGGAGCUAAUCCCAAAAAGCUGGUCUAAGUUCAGAUUGCAGUCUGCAACUCGACUGCAUGAAGGAGGAAUCGCUAGUAAUCGCGUAUCAGCCCGGCGCGGUGAAUACGUUCCCGGGCCUUGUACACACCGCCCGUCACACCACGAAAGCUGUCUGUACUCGAAGUCGCUGAG